rnacentral:lncRNA from 1 species
GUUUGAUCCCUGUACAUCUUCAGGUUACCCACCUUUCUGUUGCAUCUGUCAGCCUGCAAUUGAGUUGCUAAGUAAUAUCUGUUAGCCUAUAGUAUGUGCUUAAGUCCCCAAGCAUUCUGCUCCACAAACAAAAUCACUUUGGGGGAGAUUUUGGUUUUUCUAUGUUUUCUAAUGUUUAUGACUAAGUAAAAAAUGGAAUCAAAUAAUUACAUGCAAACACAACUAUUGAAAAAAAAAUGGCUCAGCUUCCUUCUUUUGGGGGCUGGGGACUGGGACAAGGACACGUUGAUCCUUGGUUUGGAAACUGAAACCCAGAGAAAGGAGGGUGCUGGUGCUGCACAGUGCCAAGGUCCUGAGUGUUAUGGGUUUUAGAGUAGACCAUAAUAUCCCACACUGACGAGGUACCCAAGCAGACCCCUUACAUCGGCUUCACAGCAGCCCCGUCUCCGAUCCUGCGUCGUCUCCGGCUUUGUUUUUGUUAUUGUUGUUGAGGAUGAUGUUUCGUGUCAUACGUCAUCAGUAUAUCUGUGUUGCUCACAGCAUAAAGUUUACGCUGAAAUGGACUUGACCACUAAGAGUCAUCACCGUCUGGAUGCUUGUCAUGUCUCUGGCACAUAACCCAUUACUCCCAUGCUUUAUUAGAAAAUGCAGCCUCUUUGUACCCACUUGGAAUACGCUAGGUUCUUUUCAAAGUAAACACAUGAGAAAGCUCCCGUCUGUGACUUUCCUACUGUGUAACUCUGUAGCUGGCACUUCUCGGCCUCUGUAGCUCAAUUCCAGGCAUUUUUUCCUUUUCUUUCUUUUCUUUUUCUUUUUCUUUUUCUUUUUGCACUUUUACCUUUUCUCUAGUCAAAUAAUAUUUUUUUCUUUUUAAAAUCUAUGCAUAUUUAGUUAUAAAUUAUGUUCUGAUCUUUAAAAGCAAGUUAGCAAGUAUAUCUGAUUAAAGGGAUUGCAUUUCUUAAGUCUUAUUUUAGUUAGAAAUAAUAAGGGUUUUUAUUUAGUUCGUUUUGGUGUUGUUUUGUUUUUGUUUUUGACAUGUGUGGGUGAUUUGCCUGGAUGUGUGUCUCUGUACCAUUGCAUGUGGUUCCUAAAGAGGCCAGAAGAGGGCAUUAGAUCUCCUGGAACUAGAGUUACAGAUGGUUGUGAGCUGCCAUGUGGGUGCUGGGAAUUAAACUCAGACCUUCUGGAAGAGCAGCCUGCAUGCACUCUUAACCACUAGGCCAUUUCUCCAGCCCUGGGAAUAGCAGCUGUUGUUACAAAGCUCCAGGCCUUGCUGGGUUAUAAUUCUUCAGGUUGAGGACUGGGUAGGUGCUUUGUUUUAAUGUGAAUCACAGCCUUCAUUAAUAGCCUUCUUUGUUUGGUUGGUUGUUUAUUUAUUCAUUUGUUUGUCAGCUUACUUAUUUACUUAUUUAUUUUGGCUGCUUGGUAGCUAAGAAAAAUUGUUUAUUGCUAAUAUAAUAUUAAUAUACAAUAAAAUUAUAUAUUGCUAAUAUAAUCUAUAUUAGUUAUGUCAUCCUUAUUUUAAGACUAGCUGUCAUAUGAGUCUGAGUGUACCUCACCUUGUUAAUGUAAAAAGGAAACAAAUUGAAUAUUUAAAUGAAAUUUUUAUUAUUUAAUAGAUUCUCAGGUACAUUGAUUUCCAAUUGAGUUUAUACUUUUUUUCCCUCUCUAUAAACAAAACCAUAUUUCUGCAAGACAUCUCAUUGGGAAAAUGCAUACUUUUACUAUUUGAUGAUUCAGAGAAUGAGUUUUGACAUGGCAUGGUGGCAUAUACCUAUAAUCCUAGUUCUUGGGAGAUGGAGGGGGAUAGCCUUAUAGAAGCUCAGGGUCAUCCUGACCACUUGGCAGGUUCAUGGCCAGCCUGGGCUACAUAAAAGACCAUGUCUCCAAAUGAAACAAAACCAGAAACCAAAUAUUUGGUAAGAAAACCAUUCUCUUUUCCCAGGUUAAACCAAAGCUCUUCUUUAUAACAAUUACCAGUCAAACAUGUACUGUUACUGCGUGCCAGCUAGUACACGCAGUAACAGGGAAGGAAGCCUGACCCUGAAAUGUGAGGAUCCCCCCCCCACUUGCAGUCUGCACUUUUCUUUUAACAGAGCAGAACUCUGACACUGUGGUCUAGCCCUUCACAUCCCUAGAUUUCUGUUUCUUUAUAGGAAGGACUAGAGAAAUCACUGCUGUCUUUAUCUUAAUAUACUCGGUAUCUGACGGGGACAUCAUUUUGAUAGGUUUUUUUUUUUUUCAUUUAGAUUUUCUUUUCUCUGAGUAUAAUUAUUUCCUCAUAUUCCAAGGUUGUAAAAAGUCCUAAUCAAAAUAAAUGUUAUUCAUAUAGC